UGAUAGCUGUGAAGCGUGAGGUUGCUGCCCGGCUGAAAGGCCCUGCAGGUUUUCCGUGGAGCGAAUGUCAAGUUAAGAAACUGGCGACAA
rnacentral:ncRNA from 1 species